rnacentral:rRNA from 1 species
GACGAACGCUGGCGGCGUGCCUAAUACAUGCAAGUAGAACGCUGAAGGAGGAGCUUGCUUCUCUGGAUGAGUUGCGAACGGGUGAGUAACGCGUAGGUAACCUGCCUGGUAGCGGGGGAUAACUAUUGGAAACGAUAGCUAAUACCGCAUAAUAGUAGAUGUUGCAUGACAUUUGCUUAAAAGGUGCAAUUGCAUCACUACCAGAUGGACCUGCGUUGUAUUAGCUAGUUGGUGGGGUAACGGCUCACCAAGGCGACGAUACAUAGCCGACCUGAGAGGGUGAUCGGCCACACUGGGACUGAGACACGGCCCAGACUCCUACGGGAGGCAGCAGUAGGGAAUCUUCGGCAAUGGACGGAAGUCUGACCGAGCAACGCCGCGUGAGUGCAGAAGGUUCUCGGAUCGUAAAGCUCUGUUGUAAGGGAAGAACGAGUGUGAGAGUGGAAAGUUCACACUGUGACGGUAUCUUACCAGAAAGGGACGGCUAACUACGUG